rnacentral:rRNA from 1 species
AACAAAAACAUGUCCUUUAGAAUAGAAUUUAAGGUCUAACCUGCCCACUGAGGAAUUUAAUGGCCGCAGUAUUUUGACUGUGCAAAGGUAGCAUAAUCAUUAGUUUUUUAAUUGAAAGCUUGUAUGAAUGGUUGGACGAGAUAUAAACUGUCUUUAAAUUAAAUAUAGAAUUUAAUUUUUAAGUUAAAAAGCUUAAAUAAUUUUAAAAGACGAGAAGACCCUAUAAAUCUUUAUAAGUUUAUUUAUUUAAUUUUUUAGGAUUGUUAAUUUUUAUAUAAAUAGGUUUAUUUUAUUGGGGUAAUAAAAAGAUUUAAUAAAUUCUUUUAAAAAUUUACAUUGAUUAGUGAAUUUAAUGAUCCUAUAUUAUGGAUUAUAAGAUUAAGUUACUUUAGGGAUAACAGCGUAAUUUUUUUAGAGAGUUCUUAUCGAUAAAAAAGUUUGCGACCUCGAUGUUG